AGUAAAGGCUUGCGGCCGUUCAAUUGCGGUAAUAUAGAUCAAUAAGCGACUGGCACGUCUACUCUCCGCGCCUGUUGUUUCCUGCGACGGGUAAAUUUGAAAAUGUUCAAAGAAGUCCUGCGUGGGACUUCACCGCAAAUAACUACUACAACUACUAACGAGGCCAUUAAUAUCUACUAAUAAUGAAGCUCAUUAAUGACGUUGAACCAACGCCGAACCGACUGUGACAGUUGUGCGAAGUUACUGCUUUACUGUAAAACCAGAAAAUGUCAGUCAGAUACAGGAUAAAUAUGUGGUUUAGGGAUAUAACAUCUGUUCUUCAUAAACAGCUUUGCACAAAAUCUUCUGAGUCUUUAGCUGAGCCGUUUCCACGUUCGUCUCGCCUCUAACAAGUGCUCGUAUACUAUUCAGUUUCACAUGCAAAGCAUUAUCGUCGAGAAGAUUACCUGUCUACUCUAAAGAAGAACAAAAUGGAUCGCCGGAUUGCCUGUCUUCAAGUUCACACACUGGACACCAUUGGGGCUGCCUUAUACGGGUCCACCCAGAUUCCUUUGCCUCCAAAACAAGACCAGUACCAUGAUCUAUGGGCAAAUUUGAGCUGAAGCCGGGUGGAUCCGGUGUAGUUGGGACGUGUCAUGCUUGGGCAGCCACGCAGGAAGCUCAACUUCCUACUUGACGCGCCUCGGAUCUCAGAUUCUGUGUAUUGCGUCGACAGUGAAACCUCGGCUGGUGGUUGGGCACCAGGCUUGCGUGGGUAUUCUGGCCUCCGGACGCAACUGCAAGUUUGACGUUGAC